rnacentral:sRNA from 1 species
CUUUUAGGACAUUCGGCUAUUACCGCAACGUCAUGUUGCAACGCCGAACUGAAUUACAUCCUGUAAU